rnacentral:rRNA from 1 species
AGCGGGUGAAAAGCCCGCUCGCCGGAAGACCAAGGGUUCCUGUCCAACGUUAAUCGGGGCAGGGUGAGUCGACCCCUAAGGCGAGGCCGAAAGGCGUAGUCGAUGGGAAACGGGUUAAUAUUCCCGUACUUGGUGUUACUGCGAAGGGGGGACGGAGAAGGCUAUGUUGGCCGGGCGACGGUUGUCCCGGUUUAAGCGUGUAGGUGUGUGUUCCAGGUAAAUCCGGUUCACUUUAACACUGAGGCGUGAUGACGAGGCACUACGGUGCUGAAGCAACAAAUGCCCUGCUUCCAGGAAAAGCCUCUAAGCAUCAGGUAACAUCAAAUCGUACCCCAAACCGACACAGGUGGUCAGGUAGAGAAUACCAAGGCGCUUGAGAGAACUCGGGUGAAGGAACUAGGCAAAAUGGUGCCGUAACUUCGGGAGAAGGCACGCUGACACGUAGGUGAAGUGRUUUACUCAYGGAGCUGAAGUCAGUCGAAGAUACCAGCUGGCUGCAACUGUUUAUUAAAAACACAGCACUGUGCAAACACGAAAGUGGACGUAUACGGUGUGACGCCUGCCCGGUGCCGGAAGGUUAAUUGAUGGGGUCAGCGCAAGCGAAGCUCCUGAUCGAAGCCCCGGUAAACGGCGGCCGUAACUAUAACGGUCCUAAGGUAGCGAAAUUCCUUGUCGGGUAAGUUCCGACCUGCACGAAUGGCGUAAUGAUGGCCAGGCUGUCUCCACCCGAGACUCAGUGAAAUUGAACUCGCUGUGAAGAUGCAGUGUACCCGCGGCAAGACGGAAAGACCCCGUGAACCUUUACUAUAGCUUGACACUGAACAUUGAGCCUUGAUGUGUAGGAUAGGUGGGAGGCUUUGAAGYGUGGACGCCAGUCUGCAUGGAGCCGACCUUGAAAUACCACCCUUUAAUGUUUGAUGUUCUAACGUGGACCCGUAAUCCGGGUUGCGGACAGUGUCUGGUGGGUAGUUUGACUGGGGCGGUCUCCUCCUAAAGAGUAACGGAGGAGCACGAAGGUUGGCUAAUCCUGGUCGGACAUCAGGAGGUUAGUGCAAUGGCAUAAGCCAGCUUGACUGCGAGCGUGACGGCGCGAGCAGGUGCGAAAGCAGGUCAUAGUGAUCCGGUGGUUCUGAAUGGAAGGGCCAUCGCUCAACGGAUAAAAGGUACUCCGGGGAUAACAGGCUGAUACCGCCCAAGAGUUCAUAUCGACGGCGGUGUUUGGCACCUCGAUGUCGGCUCAUCACAUCCUGGGGCUGAAGUAGGUCCCAAGGGUAUGGCUGUUCGCCAUUUAAAGUGGUACGCGAGCUGGGUUUAGAACGUCGUGAGACAGUUCGGUCCCUAUCUGCCGUGGGCGCUGGAGAACUGAGGGGGGCUGCUCCUAGUACGAGAGGACCGGAGUGGACGCAUCACUGGUGUUCGGGUUGUCAUGCCAAUGGCACUGCCCGGUAGCUAAAUGCGGAAGAGAUAAGUGCUGAAAGCAUCUAAGCACGAAACUUGCCCCGAGAUGAGUUCUCCCUGAGACUUAGAGUCUCCUGAAGGAACGUUGAAGACGACGACGUUGAUAGGCCGGGUGUGUAAGCGCAGCGAUGCGUUGAGCUAACCGGUACUAAUGAACCGUGAGGCUUAACCUU